UACAGAGGUCCCAAGCGUUGUUCGGAUUCAUUGGGCGUAAAGGGUGCGUAGGUGGCGCCGUAAGUCAGGUGUGAAAUUUCGGAGCUUAACUCCGAAACUGCAUUUGAUACUGCGGUGCUUGAGGACUGGAGAGGAGACUGGAAUUCACGGUGUAGCAGUGAAAUGCGUAGAUAUCGUGAGGAAGACCAGUGGCGAAGGCGGGUCUCUGGACAGUUCCUGACACUGAGGCACGAAGGCCAGGGGAGCAAACGGG
rnacentral:rRNA from 1 species